UACGUAGGGGGCAAGCGUUGUCCGGAAUCAUUGGGCGUAAAGGGCGCGUAGGCGGUCAGCACAAGUCAAUUGUGAAAUCUCCGAGCUUAACUCGGAAAGGUCAACUGAAACUGUGCGACUAGAGUGCGGAAGGGGCAACUGGAAUUCUUGGUGUAGCGGUGAAAUGCGUAGAUAUCAAGAGGAACACCUGCGGCGAAGGCGGGUUGCUGGGCCGACACUGACGCUGAAGCGCGAAAGCCAGGGGAGCGAACGGG
rnacentral:rRNA from 1 species